UGGGGAAUAUUGGACAAUGGGCGAAAGCCUGAUCCAGCCAUGCCGCGUGUGUGAAGAAGGUCUUCGGAUUGUAAAGCACUUUAAGUUGGGAGGAAGGGCAGUAAGCGAAUACCUUGCUGUUUUGACGUUACCGACAGAAUAAGCACCGGCUAACUCUGUGCCAGCAGCCGCGGUAAUACAGAGGGUGCAAGCGUUAAUCGGAAUUACUGGGCGUAAAGCGCGCGUAGGUGGUUCGUUAAGUUGAAUGUGAAAGCCCCGGGCUCAACCUGGGAACUGCAUCCAAAACCGGCGAGCUAGAGUAGGGCAGAGGGGUGUGGAAUUUCCUGUGUAGCGGUGAAAUGCGUAGAUAUAGGAAGGAACACCAGUGGCGAAGGCGACCACCUGGGCUCAUACUGACACUGAGGUGCGAAAGCGUGGGGAGCAAACAGG
rnacentral:rRNA from 1 species